rnacentral:SRP_RNA from 1 species
GCCAGGCGUGGUGGCACAUGCCUGUAGUCCCAACUACUUGGGAGGCUGAGGCUGGAGGAUUGCUUGAGUCCAGGAGUUCUGGGCUGUAGUGUGCUAUGCCAAGUGGGUGUCUGCACUAAGUUUGGCAUCAAUAUGAUGAUCUCCCGGGAGUGGGGGACCACCAGGCUGCCUAAGGAGGGGUGAACUGGCCCAGGUCAGAAAUGGAGCAGGUCAAAACUCCCAUGCUGAUCAGUAGUGGGAUUGUGCCUGUGAAUAGCCACUGUACUCCAGCCUGGACAACAUAGUGAGACCCCAUCUCU